rnacentral:rRNA from 1 species
CAUGCAAGUCGAGCGGAAGGCCCUUCGGGGUACUCGAGCGGCGAACGGGUGAGUAACACGUGAGUAAUCUGCCCCAGGCUCUGGGAUAGCCACCGGAAACGGUGAUUAAUACCGGAUACGACAACCGAUUGCAUGAUCUGGUUGUGGAAAGUUUUUCGGCCUGGGAUGUGCUCGCGGCCUAUCAGCUUGUUGGUGAGGUAAUGGCUCACCAAGGCUUCGACGGGUAGCCGGCCUGAGAGGGUGACCGGCCACACUGGGACUGAGACACGGCCCAGACUCCUACGGGAGGCAGCAGUGGGGAAUAUUGGACAAUGGGCGGAAGCCUGAUCCAGCAACGCCGCGUGAGGGAUGACGGCCUUCGGGUUGUAAACCUCUUUCAGCACAGACGAAGCGCAAGUGACGGUAUGUGCAGAAGAAGGACCGGCCAACUACGUGCCAGCAGCCGCGGUAAUACGUAGGGUCCGAGCGUUGUCCGGAAUUAUUGGGCGUAAAGGGCUCGUAGGCGGUCUGUCGCGUCGGGAGUGAAAACCAGGUGCUUAACACCUGGCCUGCUUUCGAUACGGGCAGACUAGAGGUACUCAGGGGAGAAUGGAAUUCCUGGUGUAGCGGUGAAAUGCGCAGAUAUCAGGAGGAACACCGGUGGCGAAGGCGGUUCUCUGGGAGUAUCCUGACGCUGAGGAGCGAAAGUGUGGGGAGCGAACAGGAUUAGAUACCCUGGUAGUCCACACCGUAAACGUUGGGCGCUAGGUGUGGGACACAUU